AACGAACGCUGGCGGCGCGCCUAAUACAUGCAAGUCGAGCGAGAAGACGUAGCAAUACGUUUGUAAAGCGGCGAACGGGUGAGGAAUACAUGGGUAACCUACCCUCGAGUGGGGAAUAACUAGCCGAAAGGUUAGCUAAUACCGCGUACGCUCCUUGGACUUCGGUUCAGGGAGGAAAGCGAUACCGUGGGUAUCGCGCUCUUGGAUGGGCUCAUGUCCUAUCAGCUUGNGGUGAGGUAACGGCUCACCAAGGCUUCGACGGGUAGCUGGUCUGAGAGGACGAUCAGCCACACUGGCACUGCGACACGGGCCAGACUCCUACGGGAGGCAGCAGUAAGGAUAUUGCGCAAUGGGCGAAAGCCUGACGCAGCGACGCCGCGUGGGGGAUGAAGGUC
rnacentral:rRNA from 1 species